rnacentral:rRNA from 1 species
CCUACGGGGGGCAGCAGUGAGGAAUAUUGGUCAAUGGUCGUAAGCCUGAACCAGCCAAGUCGCGUGCAGGAUGACGGUCCUAUGGGUCGUAACCCUCUUUUAUAAGGGAAUAAAAUGCGGGACGUGUGCCGUUUUGUAUGUACCGUAUGAAUAAGGAUCGGCUAACUCCGUGCCAGCAGCCGCGGUAAUACGGAGGGUCCGGGCGUUAUCCGGAUUUUGUGGGUUUAAAGGGAGCGUAGGUGGAAUGUUAAGGGUGCUGUGAAAGUCUGCGGCUCAACCGUGACAUUGCAGUUGAAACUGGCAGUCUUGAGUGCAGGAGAGGUAGGCGGAAUUCGUGGUGUAGCGGUGAAAUGCUUAGAUAUCACGAAGAACUCCGAUUGCGAAGGCAGUUCACUGGACUGCUACUGACGCUGAGGCUCGAAAGUGUGGGUAUCAAACAGGAUUAGAUACCCUAGUAGUC